UGCAUCUGAGGCCAGUGAGGAUGAGAACCUCCGGGGUCAGGAGGUUCGACUCGAGCGAAGCGAGAGAACGUUGCGUCAGCAACGGCCCGCAGGGC
rnacentral:sRNA from 1 species